rnacentral:rRNA from 1 species
GACGAACCGAGCGAACGUUGUUCGGAAUCACUGGGCUUAAAGGGCGCGUAGGCGGCCAUCUAAGUCAGACGUGAAAUCCCCCGGCUUAACCUGGGAACUGCGUCUGAUACUGGACGGCUUGAGUAUGGGAGAGGGAUGUAGAAUUCCAGGUGUAGCGGUGAAAUGCGUAGAUAUCUGGAGGAAUACCGGUGGCGAAGGCGGCAUCCUGGACCAUUACUGACGCUGAGGAGCGAAAGCGUGGGGAGCGAACAGG